GGAACGUUUGCUGAAGGGGGGGUGAGAAGAGCUCGAUUGCUUCCAUCCUCCUUCCUCUUCAACAUGUUUUUUUUUUCAAUGCGAUUUCCUUUCGCGAAGGGGCUGGGCCCCGUCGCGGCACGCAGCUGGAGGCAGAACGCGGGGUUUUGUUUACCAGCGUCUGUCCUGGUCCUGCUGCCCUAGCAGCUGGCUGGUUGGCGGAUUCCGCUCUAACCCUCGGGCGCUCCGACCGCAGGCGCACCGCACCUCGGCAUGGCAUGAAGGAUCCUGGCAGGGCUCCCUUCCCAAGUCAAGAGAUUGUAAAUAUAGCCUGGCUGUUGUUUACAUGAACCAUCCCGGAGGGAGGAGCGUCAGCGUAGGAAGGAGGAGGAAGAGGAAGAUGGAGACACGCAGGAAUCUCUCUGGCUGGGGCUGCCUAGGCUAGGGAAGGUAGGAUGUUCACCCCAGGGCUCCACCGCAAGGCAAGUUUACACCACCAGGCCAGAGAGCUGAGAGGGUUCCGUGGACAGCAGCUUGACAGCUAAAGCUAAGUGAGAGGAUAUUUGGGUAGUGUGUGCUCUAUUUGUGUGUUUUUUUUCCUGGGGGGGGUGUGCAGUACAGCAUAUUGUUUGAAUUUUAUGCCAAAAUGUCUUGAACAUUUGGUGUUUUCUAGUUUUAGGAACCCUUGCUAGCUGCCAGCUCAAAGAUCAUGCCUGUCUUUUUAAAUGCAAUCUUGGCUCAGGCCUGUACUCACCCUUUUCAUCUGCCCACUGUAAGCCAAAAAAAAUUGAGCUGGUUAAGGCAACCAGGAUCAGAAAUGGUGAAGGACUGGAAGGAGAGGGAGAUACAUGCUCUCUAGAGAGAGAGUGGAGAGCUCUGACUUCAAAACUCUAUUAGUUGACAUGUGCAUACUUGAAGGAAUUCAAGAGAAGAUGAUGGAGUUUGAUGCAGCCCUACAGUAAGGACGGCUAAAAGUUGCAUCAGCCAAAAUUCUCUCAUCUGUAGAACCAGAACCUUGAGUGUGAAAAAGCCUGUCUCCAAUGGAUGCUGAUAUAUCUUUCCUAUCACACUGGUCCCCGCAAGAACUCUCUGAGAGUGUGAGGAAAUUACCCAAGGCCCACCUAAACUGUUUCGUGGAACAAGCAGAAAUUGCAUGCUUCCUGUUCAGAAGCUGGGCUCGUAUAACUUGUGCCGCACUGUAGUGCUUUAAGAGUUGACUUUUUACAGGNAGAAGUCAAUGCAUUUCUUCAAAUCCUAGUUGCGUUUAUCCAGAAGUAAGUUCCGUUGGACAUCUAUUACUGGUUUACUAUUUAUUUGCAAGGCUGUUCAAACUUUGUGAAUUAUGUUUAUGAACAUACUUUAGUGUGUGUGUGAUUGUGAGUUUUAUUUCCAGCUGGCUUCUGGGAAGUCAUGCAAGGUAAGAAUAUGGGGUUUCUGACCAUGGUCAGAGUUUGCUGCCAUCAUCUGCUAUCAAUAGUUCUUGCAAUGGGAAGUGAUUUUUUAGGUGUAAUCCCACAUCUUUCACCCAAGGAGUUAACCAGUGUAUUAUGGCUGAGUUCUGAAAUAGAAAGUGUCUAGAAAUAGAAAGUGGUUAGAAAGCUAUAAUAAUAUAAAAUAAUUCAGGUAGGCUAUGCAGGCUGAGGUUGAUAGGAGACAUGAUUCAGAAAUAUCUGUAGGGCCACUGCUGGCCCAGUGCUGAAAUAGGGAACAAACUUAAAAUAAUAGCCCUUUUAAUAGUACAGAAUAUGCAGUAAUGUUGCUGCAUUAUCUCAAUAGUUAGUUUCCAUCUCUUUAUUUUAGCUUUGUGCUGUAACUUGUUUGGAUAUUUCUUAGAAGUGAUUGUGCCAGCUGGCUAUGCAUCAGUCACUUUCAAGGUUGGUGUUUUGCCCACUCACCUGUCUUAUAUAUUUAUUAUUCGCUGUUCCUCCAGGGAACAGAGUGAAGAGUGGAGAUUGCAGGGCACCAAAUUUCGUCCAGACAUUAGGAAGAGUAAACACUCUCAGGAUCUGACGAGCUUUCCUUCUAUAAAUGCCAUCUGUUAGCUAUUCUUUCCAGUUGUAUAAAGUUUUGUGCCCCCAUCAGUCUUGCGCAUUUCAGGGCUGUCAUACAAGAAAUAACAUUUUAACAUCUAUACCUGUGACACUUGUAACAGGCAGAUCUGCUUAAAAAGGACUUAUCCAUGCCUUGGGUGCCANCACCCAAAAAAAAGCUGCCUCCCUUAUUUCCGGUAGUACCUCUGUUUUUAAAAGAAAAAAAACAUCUCAUGAAGGUUUUACAGGGAAUCUCAGAAUAUGGAGAGGUAGAUUCAGAAGGAGGUAAAGAAAACUCUAUGCUAUAAUUUUAGUUUAUUUUGUGAUCUACUAGGGGUCAGUCCUAUUUCUUUACUUUAUAAGAGAUACAGGAUUGUUUUUAAAAUAUUUNGCAAAACAAGGGGCUUGCUUGGUGCUGUGUGGGUAGGAAAGGGUCACGCUGCCACAGUGCUUAAAUCAUCCCUGUGCUUCAUGAUAACUGACUGGGUUAUAUUUUAACAAAAUAUACAAGUGUUUUCUUCCUAUGUGACAAAGGUCUAGGUCUGUGGCCUUGAUUACAUCACUGUGGUAUCUGUGAUUUUGACACAUAGAUUCUCUAAAUACAUAAUUUGUACCUAAUUUGCUUCCCCUAAUUUUCAUCGGCAUUAGCAAGGUUGUUUGAAAGCAAAAAUGUGUCUGCCCUGUCUCUCCAAUCGUUUUUCUUUUCCUUGCUUCUGUUGCCUCCAUAGGGAGGUAUAGGGUCAAUAGUGUUAACGUAACUGGAGACUUUCAUACCUUUUAUAUCGGAGCACAGCUUGUAAUUCUGCUGAUAUUGUAUGUAUUGUCAAUGUGUGGCAUUUUGGAAAGAAUUGCCUAGACCUCAAGACUUUCAGAAGAAAAAUAAGUGAAGAUUGUACCUCUGUAGUCAUAAUAAGGUAAUCUGACAAUUUAUUAAUUGAAUUCAUUUUUUUGGUGCAUUCAUAAGAACAUAAUAAAUGCCCUGCUGAUUUGGACCUGUGACCCA
rnacentral:lncRNA from 1 species